rnacentral:rRNA from 1 species
AAAGCGAGUCUGAAUAGGGCGCAUAAGUAACAGGUCGUAGACCCGAAACCAGGUGAUCUACCCAUGUCCAGGAUGAAGGUAAGGUAAUACUUACUGGAGGUCCGAACCCACGCACGUUGAAAAGUGCGGGGAUGAGGUGUGGGUAGCGGAGAAAUUCCAAUCGAACUUGGAGAUAGCUGGUUCUCUCCGAAAUAGCUUUAGGGCUAGCCUCGAGGUAAAGAGUCAUGGAGGUAGAGCACUGUUUGGACUAGGGGCCCUUCUCGGGUUACCGAAUUCAGAUAAACUCCGAAUGCCAUGUACUUAUACUCGGGAGUCAGACUGCGAGUGAUAAGAUCCGUAGUCGAAAGGGAAACAGCCCAGACCACCAGUUAAGGUCCCCAAAUAUAUGUUAAGUGGAAAAGGAUGUGGGGUUGCUUAGACAACCAGGAUGUUGGCUUAGAAGCAGCCACCAUUGAAAGAGUGCGUAAUAGCUCACUGGUCGAGUGACCCCGCGCCGAAAAUGUACCGGGGCUAAACAUAUUACCGAAACUGUGGAUGAACCUCAUUAGAGGUUCGUGGUAGGAGAGCGUUCUAAGGGCGGUGAAGUCAGACCGGAAGGACUGGUGGAGCGCUUAGAAGUGAGAAUGCCGGUAUGAGUAGCGAAAGAAGGGUGAGAAUCCCUUCCACCGAAUAUCUAAGGUUUCCUGAGGAAGGCUCGUCCGCUCAGGGUUAGUCGGGACCUAAGCCGAGGCCGAUAGGCGUAGGCGAUGGACAACAGGUAGAGAUUCCUGUACCAGUGCUAAUUGUUUAACCGAUGGGGUGACACAGAAGGAUAGGGAAUCGCACGAAUGGAAAUGUGCGUCCAAGCAGUGAGUGUGAGAAGUAGGCAAAUCCGCUUCUCGCGAAGCAUGAGCUGUG